CCACGAUAGCUCAGUUGACAGAGCAACUGCUCGGUAGGCCGUGGGUCACCGGUUCGAUUCCGGUCCACCGUGGG
rnacentral:tRNA from 1 species